AACGAACGCUGGCGGCAGGCCUAACACAUGCAAGUCGAACGAACCUUUUAGGUGAGUGGCGCACGGGUGCGUAACACGUGGGAAUAUACACUUCGGUAAGGAACAACACAGAGAAAUUUGUGCUAAUACCUUAUAAUGACUCCGGUCCAAAGAUUUAUCGCCGAAGGAUUAGCCCGCGCUAGAUUAGUUUGUUGGUGAGGUAAGAGCUCACCAAGACUACGAUCUAUAGCUGGUCUUAGAGGAUGAUCAGCCACACUGGAACUGAGACACGGUCCAGACUCCUACGGGAGGCAGCAGUGAGGAAUAUUGGACAAUGGGGGCAACCCUGAUCCAGCCAUGCCGCGUGAAUGAAGAAGGCCUUAGGGUUGUAAAAUUCUUUCAGAUGCGAAGAUAAUGACGGUACCAUCAGAAGAAGCUCCGGCUAAAUUCGUGCCAGCAGCCGCGGU
rnacentral:rRNA from 1 species